UCCAGCCAUCCCGCGUGAGUGAAGAAGGCCUUCGGGUUGUAAAGCUCUUUCGAAAGUGAAGAAAACUUAUUUCGUAAUAUGUUAUAAGUAUGACGGUAACUUUAGAAGAAGCACCGGCUAACUACGUGCCAGCAGCCGCGGUAAUACGUAGGGUGCGAGCGUUAAUCGGAAUUACUGGGCGUAAAGCGUGCGCAGGCGGUUUUGUAAGUCAGAUGUGAAAUCCCCGAGCUUAACUUGGGAACUGCGUUUGAAACUACAAGACUAGAGUGUGUCAGAGGGGGGUAGAAUUCCACGUGUAGCAGUGAAAUGCGUAGAGAUGUGGAGGAAUACCAAUGGCGAAGGCAGCCCCCUGGGAUAACACUGACGCUCAUGCACGAAAGCGUGGGGAGCGAACAGGAUUAGAUACCCUGGUAGUCCACGCCCUAAACGAUGUCAACUAGUUGUUGGUGGAGUAAGAUCCAUGAGUAACGUAGCUAACGCGUGAAGUUGACCGCCUGGGGAGUACGGUCGCAAGAUUAAAACUCAAAGGAAUUGACGGGG
rnacentral:rRNA from 1 species